CCUAGAGGUUGGCAUGGCCUUUUAUAAAAUGAAACUUUUAUGGGGUUUAAAAGUGUCUAAUACUGUUAAGUAUCCAAUGAUAACAUUUAUAGACUUUUUAAGACUGUUGGCAGUGAGAGCAAUCCUUCACUAUUCACAGUUUUGGAUAAAAGAUUAUAUAAAACCUACUAAUAAAAUUAAUCCAUCUAAAUAACUAUAUAAAGAUGGCAUCUUUAUAUAGUUAUUAAGUUAUUAAGAAGGCAACCAAUAUACUCUUCAUAAGCAUAAGGACUAUUAACCAGGGGUUUUAAUAGUCUGACCAGGUGCCCCCCCCACAUUUUGGUAAAUUGGCCAAUCAAAGUAUGUCAAAUUAGCUAUUUGUAGUUUUUUUUGUAGUUUCUGUAUGCAAUGUACACAUGGAUGUACCGACAACUGUCACCAGAUUACUUUGCUACCGAAGAAACGUGAUCAUUCUCAGGCAAGUGCUGGAGUUAAAAGCUUGCAAAAGCUUUUUUCCUAUGAUUUCUAAGCAGAAUGGAACUAACAUGCUGCAAAAAGAGUACUGCACCUGUAGCAGAUGCUAAAUUGAUACAAAAUUGUACCUUUAACUACCAGCAACUACUUUGUUCCUUCAAAAGGAACGCAUGAGGGCUCCUUAUGUGGCAGUAAAAUUAUAUUGCUUCUGUACCUCUAAUUGAGCGUAUAAGCAAUUUAAAUUGCUCUAUACACACAUAUGAACAUCAGUGGAAGCGGGACAGGUGGUGUAAUCAUGUUCAUCUUUUCAUGCUUAACUGUGGAGUGAACACUCCAUGUUACGUGUAAAUUUGCAUGCAAAACAGAGCGAUAUGUUUGAAUAACAACAAUACACAAUUUGCUCCUUUCUAAAUAGCUUGGCUUCUGGAGUUAUUACCAAUUCUCCUCAGGUCCAUCACCAACAGAGCUAAUCUGAGAGUCCAGGAGUACAGAGAUACCUGACCUCUGACAAAUGGGGCAGCUGCUCAUUCUGCUGUCCUGCAUACUUUAUAUCCUGCACUUGCUUAUUGCACUUCUGGUUAGACCUAAACUGCAUUUCGUUGCCUUGUACUUGUACAUGUGUAAUGACAAUAAAGUUGAAUCUACUCUAAUUAUGUGAUUAUUGUGGCAUAGGACAUCUAUGCAGGCAAAUGGACACAACUGUCAUUAAAGCUAGGGUAGGCAAUUUAUUAUUUUAGAAGCAUUUUUGAAAUUCUCUUUACAUCUCUUUACAUAUGCAAAUAUUUCACUGUAAUUCUGAAUUGUAUUACCAGAACAGCCAGCAACUGUAAAUUGUUUCCAUUGUGCUCUCAGGUCAACUGCAUAACUGGAGUCCUACCACAAGCACAUACUUAUGUAUGCAAGCAAGCGCUUCAGCUUCUCCCCACCUGUAUACGCAGCUCAGACCAUGCUGGCUGGCCUGGACUACAAUUACUACAUCCACAGACCAGCCAAGAGAAAAGCUGAUGGCUCAAUUCAGUGGCGUGCAACUCUUCAAAGGUGGUACCCGUCAGAGGACAGGUGUCAUGAGGCCGAAAACAUGACGGACAACCGUGGUAAAAACAACCUUUGAUCUCGGCAUCGCCGUCUACAAAGUAAUGCCCCAGCCGUUUUUCGCCCAGCGCGUUGAAUGAAGACGCCACUUCAAAAAAAGAGAGAAUGACGAUAUUUAAGGAUGUUGUUUUACUUGUCUUUAACCGAUUUAGAAUCCCUAUGUACCUCGUGUCUGCCUUCACUUGAACUAAAUCCAAUAUAUUUGAACUUUGACUGUUUCAUUCAUCUCAUGUAUAUGUGACAAAUUUCAUAGGGUUCUGGGUUUUAGCUGCAAAGUUAUCCAAAUAGCUUCCUUCCAUGUGAGACCUGCCCCAGACAACACCCCCACACUUGUAAAUACAUUGUUCUACAUUGAGCCCAUACAUGAGUUUAACUAUGACAGAUUAUUUAGGUUGUUCCCAUUCUGUCUGUUGUAAAAUAUGGAUAUUAGGUGGUAACAUGCAGUGGCACCAAGGCACUGAAGCCCUGCUGUCCUGGCACUGUACACACUGAAUUCAGCUGAAAUAAAUAUUGUGAAUUUCUGCCAACAAACAUGAGUUUCCAACAUUUAUACAAAAUGUUUUCAACUGGAUGAAAUACAUGGUGAUGGCAAAUUGCAAUAUCAUGCCUAUUCAAACAGGAGAAUGCAGACUGAAGCCAUUGUCUGUUCCAAUGCAAUGCACACAUGCACAGACUACCAACAUGUCAUGCCUAAAUUAUGUCAACAUCUAUGACCCAUCCAUCCUGAUCAAAACAGACCAUCCGUACACAGCAGAUCUGUGCAGACAGGUGGACAGAUGGGAAAUAUUGUGUGUAAACAGCUCAAAACGUCACCACCUGAGGUUAUAUUAGGAGGCUUCAUUGCAGGUUUCCAAGAUUUAUUUGGCAGGCAAAAUAUUUAAUGUGUCAUUAGUAUUUCUGUGAUCUUAAUCACAACUGGCCGUCAAACAAUAACUUCAUAAAAUUGACAGGAACAGGCAACAUGUAUUUCCUGAGUCAAAGGACCCACAACAUUAUUUCCACUCUCUUGACCUUGCUAAUCUGUGAAACAAACCUUUGAAUUCUGCAUGCCCACUGUCCAAACUUAUCCACUGACCUUGUUUUGCCUCCCACCCUCCUUUGCACAUCUAGCUGCUUCUUCUUGCCUUACAGUCUCCUCUACAACCAUUUUCUCUUUCCAACUAUGAGUACCCUAUGCCAGUAAAACCUUUGCGCACAUGUUACACCUGCAACCUACAAUAUCCCUCUGUCUAUGUGCUGCCUGUGCCUCUAAAAUUGCCUCCCUUGGUUUCUGCAUAUCCGCAUAUCUCUUGUAAAAAAUUAAAAUGAUGUUUGAACUUGAAUUAAGAUUAUUAUACAGUGAAUAAAGUAAUCAAGCCUCAAUUGUGAAA